GGUUCGGCCUGGGCAUCUUCUUGGAGAACGUUCUGCACUUCACUGUGUGGGGCGGUAUCCAAGACUUUUACUUUGAGGAAAUUAGAGUGUUUCAAGCAGGCUUUAGCUUUGAAUACUUUAGCAUGGAAUAAUAAUAUAGGACCUCGGUUCUAUUUUGUUGGUUUCUAGAACUGUGGUAAUGAUUAAUAGGGAUAGUUGGGAGAAUUAGAAUUGCGUUGUCAGAGGUGAAAUUCUUGGAUUUACGCAAGACUGACUAAUGCGAAAGCAUUUUCUAAGGAUGUUUUCAUUGAUCAAGAACGAAAGUUAGGGGAUCGAAGACGAUUAGAUACCGUCCUAGUCUUAACCAUAAACCAUGCCGACUAGCGAUUGGAGGUCGUUAUCUUUACGACUCCUUCAGCAGCUUAUGAGAAAUCAAAGUCUUUGGGUUCCGGGGGGAGUAUGGUCGCAAGGCUGAAACUUAAAGGAAUUGACGGAAGGGCACCACCAGGAGUGGAGCCUGCGGCUUAAUUUGACUCAACACGGGGAAGCUUACCAGGGCCAGACAUAGUAAGGAUUGACAGAUUGAUA
rnacentral:rRNA from 1 species